CGGACGGGUGAGUAACGCGUGAGAAUCUGCCUUCAGGUCUGGGACAACCACUGGAAACGGUGGCUAAUACCGGAUGUGCCGCAAGGUGAAAGGUUAACUGCCUGAAGAUGAGCUCGCGUCUGAUUAGCUAGUAGGUAGUGUAAAGGACUACCUAGGCGACGAUCAGUAGCUGGUCUGAGAGGACGAUCAGCCACACUGGGACUGAGACACGGCCCAGACUCCUACGGGAGGCAGCAGUGGGGAAUUUUCCGCAAUGGGCGAAAGCCUGACGGAGCAAUACCGCGUGAGGGAGGAAGGCUCUUGGGUCGUAAACCUCUUUUCUCAGGGAAGAACAAAAUGACGGUACCUGAGGAAUAAGCAUCGGCUAACUCCGUGCCAGCAGCCGCGGUAAUACGGAGGAUGCAAGUGUUAUCCGGAAUGAUUGGGCGUAAAGCGUCCGCAGGUGGCUAUGUAAGUCUGCUGUUAAAGAGUCUAGCUCAACUAGAUAAGAGCAGUGGAAACUACAUGGCUAGAGUGCGUUCGGGGCAGAGGGAAUUCCUGGUGUAGCGGUGAAAUGCGUAGAGAUCAGGAAGAACACCGGUGGCGAAGGCGCUCUGCUAGGCCGCAACUGACACUGAGGGACGAAAGCUAGGGGAGCGAAUGGGAUUAGAUACCCCAGUAGUC
rnacentral:rRNA from 1 species